rnacentral:rRNA from 1 species
UACGUAGGUGGCGAGCGUUGUCCGGAUUUACUGGGCGUAAAGGGAGCGUAGGCGGACUUUUAAGUGAGAUGUGAAAUACACGGGCUCAACUUGGGUGCUGCAUUUCAAACUGGAAGUCUAGAGUGCAGGAGAGGAGAAUGGAAUUCCUAGUGUAGCGGUGAAAUGCGUAGAGAUUAGGAAGAACACCAGUGGCGAAGGCGAUUCUCUGGACUGUAACUGACGCUGAGGCUCGAAAGCGUGGGGAGCAAACAGGAUUAGAUA